AGUGAACGCUGGCGGUAGGCCUAACACAUGCAAGUCGAACGGCAGCACAGUAAGAGCUUGCUCUUACGGGUGGCGAGUGGCGGACGGGUGAGGAAUACAUCGGAAUCUACUUUUUCGUGGGGGAUAACGUAGGGAAACUUACGCUAAUACCGCAUACGACCUACGGGUGAAAGCAGGGGAUCUUCGGACCUUGCGCGAUUGAAUGAGCCGAUGUCGGAUUAGCUAGUUGGCGGGGUAAAGGCCCACCAAGGCGACGAUCCGUAGCUGGUCUGAGAGGAUGAUCAGCCACACUGGAACGGAGACACGGUCCAGACUCCUACGGGAGGCAGCAGUAGGGAAUAUUGGACAAUGGGCGCAAGCCUGAUCCAGCCAUACCGCGUGGGUGAAGAAGGCCUUCGGGCUGUAAAGCCCUUUUGUUGAGAAAGAAAAGCAGCAGGUUAAUACCCCGCUGUUCUGACGGUACCCAAAGAAUAAGCACCGGCUAACUUCGUG
rnacentral:rRNA from 1 species